GACGAACGCUGGCGGCGUGCUUAACACAUGCAAGUCGAACGAUGAAGAAAAGAAUCGAAGCUUCGGCAGAAAUUCAUUUCGGAUUAGUGGCAGACGGGUGAGUAACGCGUGAGCAACCUACCUCUUACAAAGGGAUAGCCUCGGGAAACCGGGAUUAAUACCAUAUAACAUUGCGACGAAGCAUUUCGAUGCAAUCAAAGCUACGGCGGUAAGAGAUGGGCUCGCGUCCCAUUAACCGGAUGGUGAGGUAACGGCUCACCAUAGUGACGAGGGGUAACCGGCCUGGAGGGGUGAACGGUCCACCUGGAAGUGGGACACGGUCCGAACCCUAAGGGGGGGCGGCAGGGGGGAAUAUUGAAAAAUGGGGGAAAGUCGAAUGCAGCGGGGCCGGGUGAGUGAGGAAGGAUUUCUUUUCGAAAAACUCUUUUUUUGGGGAAGAAAAGGACGGAACCAAAGGAAAAAGCCCCGGUUAAAUCCGG
rnacentral:rRNA from 1 species